UUCNGNUGUGCCGCAAGNUGAACUUAAUUGNNNNAGAGGGCUUGCGUCUGNNAAGCUANUGGUGGGGUNAGGGCCUACCAAGGCGACGAUCAGUAGCUGUCUAGAGGAUGAGCAGCCACACUGGGACUGAGACACGGCCAGACUCCUACGGGAGGCAGCAGUGGGGAAUUUUCCGCAAUGGGCGAAAACCUGACGGAGCAACGCCGCGUGAGGGAGGAAGGUCUUUGGAUUGUAAACCUCUUUUCUCAAGGAAGAAGUUCUGACGGUACUUGAGGAAUCAGCCUCGGCUAACUCCGUGCCAGCAGCCGCGGUAAUACGGGGGAGGCAAGCGUUAUCCGGAAUUAUUGGGCGUAAAACGUCCGCAGGUGGUCAGCCAAGUCUGCCGUCAAAUCAGGUUGCUUAACGACCUAAAGGCGGUGGAAACUGGCAGACUAGAGAGCAGUAGGGGUAGCAGGAAUUCCCAGUGUAGCGGUGAAAUGCAGUAGAGAUUGGGAAGAACAUCGGUGCGAAAGCGUGCUACUGGGCC
rnacentral:rRNA from 1 species